GACGAACGCUGGCGGCGUGCUUAACACAUGCAAGUCGAACGGAAAGGCCCUGCUUUUGUGGGGUGCUCGAGUGGCGAACGGGUGAGUAACACGUGAGUAACCUGCCCUUGACUUUGGGAUAACUUCAGGAAACUGGGGCUAAUACCGGAUAGGAGCUCCUGCUGCAUGGUGGGGGUUGGAAAGUUUCGGCGGUUGGGGAUGGACUCGCGGCUUAUCAGCUUGUUGGUGGGGUAGUGGCUUACCAAGGCUUUGACGGGUAGCCGGCCUGAGAGGGUGACCGGCCACAUUGGGACUGAGAUACGGCCCAGACGCAUACGGGAGGCAGCAGUGGGGAAUAUUGCACAAUGGGCGGAGGCCGGAUGCAGCAACGCCGCGUGCGGGAUGACGGCCUUCGGGUUGUAAACCGCUUUCGCCUGUGACGAAGCGUGAGUGACGGUAAUGGGUAAAGAAGCACCGGCUAACUACGU
rnacentral:rRNA from 1 species